CGCUUGCGGCGUGCCUAAGAAAUGCAAGUCGAACGGGGAGCUUCGGCUCCUAGUGGCGAACGGUCGCGUAACNNGUAAGAAACCUGCCUCGAAGCGGGGGAUAACAGUCCGAAAGGAUUGCUAAUACCGCAUGUGGCCAGUGAAGGGCAUCCUUCAUUGUCUAAAGAUUUAUCACUUCGAGAUGGUCUUGCGGCCUAUCAGCUAGUUGGUGGGGUAACGGCCUACCAAGGCGACGACGGGUAGCUGGUCUGAGAGGACGAUCAGCCGGAUUGGGACUGAGAUACGGCCCAGACUCCUACGGGGGGCAGCAAUUAGGAAUCUUGCACAAUGGGGGAAACCCUGAUGCAGCGACGCCGCGUGAAGGAUGAAGGUUCUCGGAUCGUAAACUUCUUUUAAUGGGGAAGAAAUUUGACGGUACCCAUUGAAUAAGCCCCGGCUAACUACGUGCCAGCAGCCGCGGUAAUACGUAGGGGGCGAGCGUUGUCCGAAGUUACUGGGCGUAAAGCGCGCGUAGGCGGUUUUUUAAGUCUGGGGUGAAAGGUUCAGCGCUCAACGUGAACAGUGCCUUGGAUACUGGAAGACUUGAAUCUGGAAGAGGGUAGUGGAAUUCCUGGUGUAGCGGUGAAAUGCGUAGAUAUCAGGAGGAACACCAAUGGCGAAGGCAGCUACCUGGUCUAAGAUUGACGCUGAGGUGCGAAAGCGUGGGGAGCAAACGGGAUUAGAUACCCCGGUAGUCCACGCCCUAAACGAUGAGUGCUAGGUGUACGCGGUAUCGACCCCGCGUGUGCCGUCGCUAACGCAUUAAGCACUCCGCCUGGGGAGUACGGCCGCAAG
rnacentral:rRNA from 1 species